AUGCAGGCUUAAUAAUGCUUUGACCAAAAGACUUCUAAAAAGCUGAGAUAAAGAUAAGAGUCAAUCACCUCGGUGUUCCCUCCAUUACUGCCUCUAAAAUGUCUAGAGGGAGUUCCUUCACUCCACUUUGCCUUCUUUAGAACAAGAAAGGUACCUGAUGAGACUAGCUGCCCCAGUUCUCAGUGGCUACCUGUUGAGGAAGGAGGCCCGGGAGAGAGGGAUAUCUUCUAGGCAAACCGUGGUACACCCUUCGGUUGUGUGCCGAGACCUUGUUGUUCAAAAUGCCCUGUACACUGGAAAUUUGGAAGCUGUAAAAGACAUCUUCUCUAAAGGCUUUCCUGCUGACCUGGUCAUCCAACCUCAGGGAGGAGCCAUGCGCUGGGUUGCAGAUGGAAAAGUGAGAGGACUGUGGUCAUUGACAUACGAACAAGAGUUGACCACACCGCUACACGUCACUGCCGGCAGGGGUUUCACCGAGUGUCUAAGACAUCUUCUCCAGAGGGGCGCUCGAGUGGACCAGGCACCUGGGGGCACCACUGCUCUACAUGAGGCCUGUGAAGAGUGCCAGCAAGAGUGUGCCAUGCUGUUGCUGCAGUACGGCGCCAAUACCAACGAGGUGAACGAGGAUGGGCAGAUGCCCUUGCACAUGUGCACUCAGCUCGAGUCACUUGAGUGUGCCAAACAUCUAAUCUCAUUUGGUGCUGUUAUUAAUGGUCAAAGCUUGUAUGAGAAUGACACGCCCCUCCAUGUGGCCGCCCGCCAUGGCCUUCCAGGUCAUGUGGAGCACUACUUACAUAAUGGAGCAGCACUUAACCUACAAAAUGAUGAAGGACACACGGCACUCAAUUCCGCCUGUUCCCAACCACAAGACCCCACGUCUCUAGAGCGCUACACUAGUGUGUGCCACCUGCUAGUGUCUGCUGGGGCAGACAUACAUAUUAGUGACGCAGACAAGCAGACGCCACUGCAUAUGGCGUGCAAGAACGUCAACCCUGAUGUGGUAGAACUACUGCUUAAACACAAUGCGUCGGUUAACGAGAUGGAUUACAGUGCAGAUGCACCUAUGCAUAACAUCCUGAAGGGGGUGACCUAUAAGGUAGACAAUGAGCCCGAGAGGAUUGUACAGGCACUACUCAACUACGGAUCCAUCAGAUUGUGGCCAGGAGCCCUGCCGAAGGCCAGUACUUGUGAAGAGAGUAUUUGUUGCAAAAGUACUUAAGGCUGAAAUGUGUAAUUUCUGCACAAUCUAGCGACACCAAAUGGAAUUGCAAAAAUAAUCAAUGUUUUCAAUCAGAUUCCUGAAAAAUCCCACUGUCAUCCAUUGGUUGUACAAACAGAUAGUCCCGUUCCAAAUUUACACCAUUGGUUGAGCCUAGCCCUGCGAUGGACUGGCGACCUGUCCAGGGUGUCCCCCGCCUUUCGCCCACUGUUAGCUGGGAUAGGCUCCAGCCCCCCGCGACCCUGUACACAGGAUAAGCGGUUGACGAUGGAUGGAUGGAUGGAUGGAUGGUUGAGCCUAUGUUGCUGUGCCAGGCUGGACAAGAUGCUCAAUGAAAGAGAUGCAUGUUUUGAUAGCACCACAGUCUUUAGACAUUUAGGUUACAUUAAUUGACAAAUGGCUGUACAGAUUAAAUGCAUUUGAUGAAGUCCUUCUCGACCGUUAAUAAAGUACUUUGAGUAAUAUCAGAGACAGCUUAGCUACUUAAAAUGAAUGGGAUAAAUUGUAAGUCCAAAAAUGGAGGGUGUAUAAAAGAAAAUCCCACGUUACAGGAAAAAAAGCGGGUCACCUUUUUGAGAAAAGCCUGUUAUUUAACUCACAAUUGCGCAUUAAAAAUGACCAGACUGACAAAUAGUGUUUUCAGUGUGAUCUGAGCUAAAGAAGCACAAUUUAUGAUACAAUUGUUGUCAGAUUUUACUGCAUAUUUUAAAAUAUGUUAUUUGAUUGUAAUCUUGACCAACCAUUUAGGUGAUUUCAGUCUUUCCCCUUUCAAGUUAGUAAGAGUUGUACUUGUAUGCCACUUGUAAAAUAGCUGCCCUGGAGCUUUCCGAAGCUACAGUUAAUAAGAGCCGCACGAUGUGCAGUUCUCCGCCAUUUUUUAAGACUUUUAGACUUUAAACAUAUUCCCCAAGUAUGACAUAUAUAAUAUACAGAUGGAGAUUCAUCGUAGGUAUUUAAAUUCAUAGGAUGUAUUUCUCACCUACUCUAUGAAUACUUAUGAAUACUGAAAAUUUGGACACCAAACUCAAUUGUCAUAGUGCUUUUGAAAUUCAAUGUUAAGUGGGGAGAUAUAUAUAUUUUGAUGCAGGGCAUGACUAAGCACUGCCUCAAAAUGGAAUUGGAAACUAACUUUGCCUUUUUGUUAUAUGUAAGGAUCCAAACUAAAUCGGUGUACAUCUUUUGAACAAAUAAACAGAAAUGAAUUAAGUCGAAACCAAUCACUAAAGUUUACCACAAGCAACAUAUGAUAUUCUAGUUGUCACAAAUGCAGAAAUAAUAAUUUUUUUGAUGGGUUUAUUUCUGUCUUUCUAAAGCAAACAGUUGAUAUCACGCAUUCAAUGAGUCCCACUUGUGCCAAAUAAAUUGCCUAAGUCUUAACGAGGCAAAUGUUAAUAGGAGAUUAAUUAGCACUAAUUGCAGAAAUUCCCCACAAUCCCCCAGAGGGGAGCCCAAUCUGUUCAUCAAGCAGAGUAUUUAAUUAUUCCGUUCAAUGUUCUCCCAUAAAUACAACAUUCAACCUUUGACCUACACAACACUGGUGGGACGAUUGCUCCAAAAAUUCUGUUCAUUCUCUGGCCAGCUUACCUUGUUGAAUUUUUUUAUUAUGAAAGAAACAUAAACAAUUUAAUGAUUCCUUGCUUUAGAAUGUGAAGUGACUCUUUUCAAAACAGUAUCAGGCCACUUGACUCCUAUGUUUAACUUCUAUUUGGGACUUCCGAACUAAUAGAUGAGAAAAUGGGGUAAACUGGAAACUUUCUGUGUUUUUGCUACAGCACAAAGAGCACAAUAUACCAGAUUCUAAUUUUAGAUCAUAGAGUGAGUAUUUUGUUGCACAGGGAGGAUAAUACAGGAUCUCAGUUCAAGUCCCAGCCAGGUUAUCCAAGCAGGGACGCUGUCAACCUCUUGGUUGGAGUCAGAGUUGUAAUCUCCCGGUUGAAGUCCGAGUAAGAGGUCCUGAAAUAUUGCUGCAUAUCUCCACGAACAAUGGAGGUGCUCUUCAAUGCCUAUGACCGCCUCAAAAUCACUGAUGCCUGGGUAGAGGCAGUUCCUCCGGAAGUAUUUCAG